UACGGAGGGUGCUAGCGUUGUUCGGAAUUACUGGGCGUAAAGCGCACGUAGGCGGCUUUGUAAGUUAGAGGUGAAAGCCCGGGGCUCAACUCCGGAAUUGCCUUUAAGACUGCAUCGCUAGAAUUGUGGAGAGGUAAGUGGAAUUCCGAGUGUAGAGGUGAAAUUCGUAGAUAUUCGGAAGAACACCAGUGGCGAAGGCGACUUACUGGACCAAUAUUGACGCUGAGGUGCGAAAGCGUGGGGAGCAAACAGG
rnacentral:rRNA from 1 species